AUACGUAGGGUGCGAGCGUUAAUCGGAAUUACUGGGCGUAAAGCGUGCGCAGGCGGAUUAUUAAGCAAGACGUGAAAGCCCCGGGCUUAACCUGGGAAUGGCGUUUUGAACUGGUAGUCUAGAGUGUGUCAGAGGGGGGUGGAAUUCCACGUGUAGCAGUGAAAUGCGUAGAUAUGUGGAGGAACACCAAUGGCGAAGGCAGCCCCCUGGGAUAACACUGACGCUCAUGUACGAAAGCGUGGGUAGC
rnacentral:rRNA from 1 species